GGGAAGGUAGCUCAGUGGUAAGAGUGCUUGCCUUUCGUGCAUGAGGCCCUGGGUUCAAUUCCUCAGCACCA
rnacentral:tRNA from 1 species